GGAGCUCGGCGCCGCGGACAACGCGCGAUCGAGCGGCGA
rnacentral:misc_RNA from 1 species